rnacentral:rRNA from 1 species
UUAAUUUGAGAGUUUGAUCCUGGCUCAGGACGAACGCUGGCGGCGUGCCUAAUACAUGCAAGUCGAACGAACUCUGGUAUUGAUUGGUGCUUGCAUCAUGAUUUACAUUUGAAUGAGUGGCGAACUGGUGAGUAACACGUGGGAAACCUGCCCAGAAGCGGGGGAUAACACCUGGAAACAGAUGCUAAUACCGCAUAACAACUUGGACCGCAUGGUCCGAGUUUGAAAGAUGGCUUCGGCUAUCACUUUUGGAUGGUCCCGCGGCGUAUUAGCUAGAUGGUGGGGUAACGGCUCACCAUGGCAAUGAUACGUAGCCGACCUGAGAGGGUAAUCGGCCACAUUGGGACUGAGACACGGCCCAAACUCCUACGGGAGGCAGCAGUAGGGAAUCUUCCACAAUGGACGAAAGUCUGAUGGAGCAACGCCGCGUGAGUGAAGAAGGGUUUCGGCUCGUAAAACUCUGUUGUUAAAGAAGAACAUAUCUGAGAGUAACUGUUCAGGUAUUGACGGUAUUUAACCAGAAAGCCACGGCUAACUACGUGCCAGCAGCCGCGGUAAUACGUAGGUGGCAAGCGUUGUCCGGAUUUAUUGGGCGUAAAGCGAGCGCAGGCGGUUUUUUAAGUCUGAUGUGAAAGCCUUCGGCUCAACCGAAGAAGUGCAUCGGAAACUGGGAAACUUGAGUGCAGAAGAGGACAGUGGAACUCCAUGUGUAGCGGUGAAAUGCGUAGAUAUAUGGAAGAACACCAGUGGCGAAGGCGGCUGUCUGGUCUGUAACUGACGCUGAGGCUCGAAAGUAUGGGUAGCAAACAGGAUUAGAUACCCUGGUAGUCCAUACCGUAAACGAUGAAUGCUAAGUGUUGGAGGGUUUCCGCCCUUCAGUGCUGCAGCUAACGCAUUAAGCAUUCCGCCUGGGGAGUACGGCCGCAAGGCUGAAACUCAAAGGAAUUGACGGGGGCCCGCACAAGCGGUGGAGCAUGUGGUUUAAUUCGAAGCUACGCGAAGAACCUUACCAGGUCUUGACAUACUAUGCAAAUCUAAGAGAUUAGACGUUCCCUUCGGGGACAUGGAUACAGGUGGUGCAUGGUUGUCGUCAGCUCGUGUCGUGAGAUGUUGGGUUAAGUCCCGCAACGAGCGCAACCCUUAUUAUCAGUUGCCAGCAUUAAGUUGGGCACUCUGGUGAGACUGCCGGUGACAAACCGGAGGAAGGUGGGGAUGACGUCAAAUCAUCAUGCCCCUUAUGACCUGGGCUACACACGUGCUACAAUGGAUGGUACAACGAGUUGCGAACUCGCGAGAGUAAGCUAAUCUCUUAAAGCCAUUCUCAGUUCGGAUUGUAGGCUGCAACUCGCCUACAUGAAGUCGGAAUCGCUAGUAAUCGCGGAUCAGCAUGCCGCGGUGAAUACGUUCCCGGGCCUUGUACACACCGCCCGUCACACCAUGAGAGUUUGUAACACCCAAAGUCGGUGGGGUAACCUUUUAGGAACCAGCCGCCUAAGGUGGGACAGAUGAUUAGGGUGAAGUCGUAACAAGGUAGCCGUAGGAGAACCUGCGGCUGGAUCACCUCCUUUCUAAGGAA